AGAGUUUGAUCCUGGCUCAGGAUGAACGCUGGCGGCGUGCUUAACACAUGCAAAUCGAGCGAGAAGACUUUAAACGAUCCUUCGGGAGAGUGAUGGGUUGGAAAGCGGCGGACGGGUGAGUACCGCGUGGGCAACCUGCCCCAUACAGAGGGAUAGCCACUGGAAACGGUGAUUAAUACCACAUGAAACUGAAGGAUCGCAUGGUCCUUUGGUCAAAGUGUUAGCGGUAUGGGAUGGGCCCGCGUCUGAUUAGCUAGUUGGUGAGGUAACGGCUCACCAAGGCGACGAUCAGUAGCCGACCUGAGAGGGUGAUCGGCCACACUGGAACUGAGACACGGUCCAGACUCCUACGGGAGGCAGCAGUGGGGAAUAUUGCACAAUGGGGGAAACCCUGAUGCAGCAACGCCGCGUGAACGAUGAAGGCCUUCGGGUUGUAAAGUUCUUUUCUUGGAGAAGAAGUUCUGACGGUAUCCAAGGAAUAAGCCCCGGCUAACUACGUGCCAGCAGCCGCGGUAAUACGUAGGGGGCGAGCGUUAUCCGGAAUCACUGGGCGUAAAGGGAGCGUAGGCGGUCAAGCAAGUCAGAGGUGAAAGGCAUCGGCUUCAACCGAUGUAAGCCUUUGAAACUGUUUAACUUGAGUGCAGGAGAGGAAAGUGGAAUUCCUAGUGUAGCGGUGAAAUGCGUAGAUAUUAGGAGGAACACCAGUGGCGAAGGCGACUUUCUGGACUGUAACUGACGCUGAGGCUCGAAAGCGUGGGGAGCGAACAGGAUUAGAUACCCUGGUAGUCCACGCCGUAAACGAUGAACACUAGGUGUCUGGGGUCGAACCUAGGUGCCGUAGCAAACGCAUUAAGUGUUCCGCCUGGGGAGUACGCACGCAAGUGUGAAACUCAAAGGAAUUGACGGGGACCCGCACAAGCAGCGGAGCAUGUGGUUUAAUUGGAAGCAACGCGAAGAACCUUACCAGGUCUUGACAUGCAGAUGACCGGUCCUUAAUCGGAUCUUUCCUUCGGGACAUCUGACACAGGUGGUGCAGGUGUCGUCAGCUCGUGUCGUGAGAUGUUGGGUUAAGUCCCGCAACGAGCGCAACCCUUAUUUUUCAUUGCCAUCAGGUGAAGCUGGGCACUCUAAAGAGACUGCCGUGGACAACACGGAAGAAGGUGGGGAUGACGUCAAAUCAUCAUGCCCCUUAUGAUCUGGGCUACACACGUGCUACAAUGGUCGGUACAACGGGCAGCGAAGGGGUGACCUGGAGCGAAUCCUCUAAAGCCGAUCUCAGUUCGGAUUGCAGGCUGCAACUCGCCUGCAUGAAGUUGGAGUUGCUAGUAAUCGUGGAUCAGAAUGCCGCGGUGAAUGCGUUCCCGGGUCUUGUACACACCGCCCGUCACACCAUGGAAGCUGGGGGCGCCCGAAGCCCGUGAUCCAACCCCUUGUGGGGGGAAGCGGUCGAAGGUGAAAUCAGUGACUAGGGUGAAGUCGUAACAAGGUAGCCGUAUCGGAAGGUGCGGCUGGAUCACCUCCUU
rnacentral:rRNA from 2 species